GAUGAAGAACGUAGCGAAAUGCGAUAAGUAAUGUGAAUUGCAGAAUUCAGUGAAUCAUCGAAUCUUUGAACGCACAUUGCGCCCUCUGGUAUUCCGGGGGGCAUGCCUGUUCGAGCGUCAUUAUAACCACUCAAGCUCUCGCUUGGUAUUGGGGCUCGCGGUUCCGCGGCCCCUAAAAUCAGUGGCGGUGCCUGUCGGCUCUACGCGUAGUAAUACUCCUCGCGAUUGAGUCCGGUAGGUCUACUUGCCAACAACCCCCAAUUUUUACAGGUUGACCUCGGAUCAGGUAGGGAUACCCGCUGAACUUAAGCAUAUCAAUAAGCGGAGGA
rnacentral:misc_RNA from 1 species